CAGCCACCACCAAACACAGCACAGACCAGAAGCUAAACCCUCACACCUUAAGAGCUGGAGUUGGCAUUGUACUGAGACAUCUGGGCUAUAACCCAGCACUGCCACACCAAGUCAAUUUGCCAUGAGAAGCAUGUGUUGAUACCAGAGUGAGGUGAAAAUACAUCCAGUGCUGGCUUGGCAUAGGUUCUUCUACACCUCACAAUGCACUGAGUUCCAUGGCUCUGUGCGCUGACAGAGGAUGCUGGGGACAAGACUGUAACAAUCCAAAAGAUGAAACGUGUCCAGUCUCUCAAGUCACAGCUGCUCUACUUGGGACCGUGCUACAAAUCACACAGUGUUGCUGAUUCAUCCCACUCCCACUAGCACAUGUAACUACUGAUGUCAGCAUUUAGACUCUGGAUUUUACCCCAAAACCAUGCAAAAUUUGGGAUUCCUAACAUUAAUUGACUGGAGUUGAGUUUGACCACAUGAGCUUGAUCUUGAUGUUUGGUUUGUUCACAUCUGAAAUUCAAAGUCAAAAUUAUCAAGGAAUGGGAGCUCAUGUGGAUGAAACCCAAAACAAAUGUUUGUAGGAACCUCUGAGAAAUGGAAAAAAGGGACAGACUGUCCACUCAUUCAGACACCACCAGCAGUCAAUGGAGAAGAACAUCGAUGAGUCAUAUGAGGUGUAACCUACAUGAUUUGCGAGGAGGACCUUGUGCUGAUCUGCUCAGAGACAACCAUCAAGGAGUAAAGAGUUUCACAACACAGACCAUUUUUUUAUUAAAUUCCACUAUUUCAUUUUAGUGACAUAAAUAAAUGCUUUGUGAAAGGAAAA